rnacentral:lncRNA from 1 species
GUGUGGGAAAUGACUAGUUUCACUCACCAGUCGCCAGCUUUGGGACAUUUCCAGGGGACCUGACUGGCUGAGAAUGGGAUGUCGACCAGCUCUUAUGGGAGCACCAGCCACCUGGACACUCACAGACACUUGAUGGAGCUCCAUAAGAUCAAACCCCUUAUUCCAGAGCUGUGAGGCGAUCUCAGUUUGUGCAUCAGGUUGGCAUAAGACUGGCCAGCACAGGAACUCGGAGAUGAAGUUUAGAAGCCAGAGUGGUGAGAACGAGGGAGGAACAGACUCUCUGAGACAGGAUGUGAGAAGGCUACCUACGGGCCAACUGAAAAGACACCACUGAAGACAAAGCAUCUAGCCCCAGGGGACCCAGCCUCACAGACUGCCUCAAUUGCUGUUUCCUCAAAAAUUGUAUCCAGGACAGUUUCAAAGUGUCCAGCCUCAUACAAUGUCUCUGCCAGGACUUCAGUUACAUCCCACACUUUCCUAUCCCACAGAGCCUGAACAGCAAAGGAGACAGCCAAGUCUCCCAAGACUUGUCCAAUAUCACGGUUUUCU